rnacentral:rRNA from 1 species
UACAGAGGUCUCAAGCGUUGUUCGGAUUCAUUGGGCGUAAAGGGUGCGUAGGCGGCGCGGUAAGUCGGUGUGAAAUCUCGGAGCUUAACUCCGAACUGCAUCGAGUACUGCCGUGCUUGAGGACCGGAGAGGAGGACUGGAAUUUACGGUGUAGCGGUGAAAUGCGUAGAUAUCGUAAGGAAGACCAGUGGCGAAGGCGGGUCUCUGG